rnacentral:rRNA from 1 species
UACGUAGGGAGCAAGCGUUGUCCGGAAUUACUGGGCGUAAAGGGUGCGUAGGCGGUUCGAUAAGUCAGAUGUGAAAUACCCGGGCUCAACUCGGGGGCUGCAUUUGAAACUGUCGAACUUGAGUGCAGGAGAGGAAAGCGGAAUUCCUAGUGUAGCGGUGAAAUGCGUAGAUAUUAGGAGGAACACCAGUGGCGAAGGCGGCUUUCUGGACUGUAACUGACGCUGAGGCACGAAAGCGUGGGGAGCAA